rnacentral:rRNA from 1 species
GCCAGCAACUAUAUCAUCCUGCAACUCUAUUGAGCCCUGCAACUCGCAACUAGCAACCCACUGAGCUUAGCAGGUGUGAGCCUGGUCAGUUCCUGGAUGGGAGACCUCCUGGGAAAAACUAAGGUUGUUGCUGGAA